UACGUAGGGUGCAAACGUUGCUCGGAAUUAUUGGGCGUAAAGCGCACGUAGGCGGCUUGGCACGUCGGUUGUGAAAUCCCUCGGCUCAACCAAGGAAGUGCAUCCGAAACUGCCGAGCUUGAGUACUUAAGAGGAUCGCGGAAUUCCCGGUGUAGAGGUGAAAUUCGUAGAUAUCGGGAGGAACACCAGUGGCGAAGGCGGCGAUCUGGGAAGUUACUGACGCUGAGGUGCGAAAGCGUGGGGAGCAAACAGG
rnacentral:rRNA from 1 species